GCUUCUUGAUAUCCUUAGUUCUUCAUGUGGCAUUUCUACAGAUUUCUAAGCAGCGGGUAUAGGCUGUUGACGCCCUUGGUCUUCUUCUUGACAAGCCGUACAGAUCUACGGGUCUCCAAAUUGCCAUCUGUUGGUGGUGCGUCCUUUUCCACUUGAAUUUGUGUCUCUUUUUCCACUUGCAUUUGCGCCUCUUGCUGAUCAUGCAUGGAUGGAGCAUCUUCCCCAUCCUCACUCACCCCAUCAUUAUCCUCACUCUCACUAUCAACAAAUACUUUCUCUUCAAAAUCAAUGACAAAAGAACAGCGGUCAGUUAUGAAGAGUAGGUCACUAGGGAAGCAACCCUUGCUUACUUGGGUGUCCUCAUAUGAAUGAUAAACAAAACCAGUACAGCUUAAUGCUCUAGUUUAGAUACUAAGGAAUAAGUAAUUUAAAUACAACCCGAUGCUCUAGUUUGCCAAAAAGACAAGUCAAAAACUAUAAUCUAUUCUUGAGAAAGAUACUGCGAAGCUUAGUUCUAGAACCAUCACUUAAUGGUACCGCUGAACAUUGAAAUUAACCAUCG
rnacentral:rRNA from 1 species